GUAAAUGGUUUCUCCAUGCUUAAUCUACUCUUAAGGAGUCUCAAACACAACAGAGCUUCUUUCCAUGCCUGCAAGGGGGAAAAACUAUUAGCAGUGCUCUCCUCCUGCAUUAUUAUAGAGUUAAUGUGGGCAUGAAACAAGCAUCUGUGAAGUAGGACUAGAGCAAAUAAGUGAUGGUUUGUCAGUACUUCAGUUUGGCCAGGCAAAUGGAUUCACAUUGCUGAGACCUAGAAGCACCACUCUUGGUGUGGAGCACUGUGAAUCAGCCCUCCUGGAGGAUGAAUGUGAGAGACACCUGCAGCAUCAACAUGGGGACCGCAUGUCUGCCAUGGAGGACCUGGGGAGCAGCCCCAUGCCAUAGGAUGAGGGAGGGAAAGGAUAUUGUCCAAGGUCUGGAAGGAGGAAGGUUUUCUGUUUUCUCCUUGGGGAGG